GUAGGUGGCAAGCGUUGUCCGGAAUUAUUGGGCGUAAAGCGCGCGCAGGCGGUUCUUUAAGUCUGAUGUGAAAGCCCACGGCUCAACCGUGGAGGGUCAUUGGAAACUGGAGAACUUGAGUACAGAAGAGGAAAGCGGAAUUCCACGUGUAGCGGUGAAAUGCGUAGAGAUGUGGAGGAACACCAGUGGCGAAGGCGGCUUUCUGGUCUGUAACUGACGCUGAGGCGCGAAAGCGUGGGGAGCAAACAGGGAUUAGAUACCCUGGUAGUCCACGCCGUAAACCGAUGAGUGCUAAGUGUUAGGGGGGUUUCCGCCCCCCUUAGUGCUGCAGCUAACGCAUUAAGCACUCCGCCUGGGGAGUACGGCCGCAAGGCUG
rnacentral:rRNA from 1 species